rnacentral:rRNA from 1 species
AGGUUACUGCUAUCGGUGUUCGCCUAAGCCAUGCGAGUCAUAUGUUCUUCGUGAACAUGGCGUACUGCUCAGUAACACGUGGAUAACCUGCCCUUGGGUCCGGCAUAACCCCGGGAAACUGGGGAUAAUUCCGGAUAACGCACAUAUGCUGGAAUGCUUUAUGCGUCAAAUGGAUUCGUCCGCCCAAGGAUGGGUCUGCGGCCUAUCAGGUAGUAGUGGGUGUAAUGUACCUACUAGCCUACGACGGGUACGGGUUGUGAGAGCAAGAGCCCGGAGAUGGAUUCUGAGACAUGAAUCCAGGCCCUACGGGGCGCAGCAGGCGCGAAAACUUUACAAUGCGGGAAACCGUGAUAAGGGGACACCGAGUGCCAGCAUCAUAUGUUGGCUGUCCGGGUGUGUAAAAUACACCUGUUAGCAAGGGCCGGGCAAGACCGGUGCCAGCCGCCGCGGUAACACCGGCGGCCCGAGUGGUGAUCGUGAUUAUUGGGUCUAAAGGGUCCGUAGCCGGUUUGGUCAGUCCUCCGGGAAAUCUGACGGCUUAACCGUUAGGCUUUCGGGGGAUACUGCCAGACUUGGAACCGGGAGAGGUAAGAGGUACUACAGGGGUAGGAGUGAAAUCUUGUAAUCCCUGUGGGACCACCUGUGGCGAAGGCGUCUUACCAGAACGGGUUCGACGGUGAGGGACGAAAGCUGGGGGCACGGACCGGAUUAGAUACCCGGGUAGUCCCAGCCGUAAACGAUGCUCGCUAGGUGUCAGGCAUGGCGCGACCGUGUCUGGUGCCGCAGGGAAGCCGUGAAGCGAGCCACCUGGGAAGUACGGCCGCAAGGCUGAAACUUAA